CUCAGGCCGGAUCAGCCUGAAGGCGCCCGAUCUCGUCUGAUCUCGGAAGCUAAGCAGGGUCGGGCCUGGUUAGUAUCUUGGAUGGGAGACCACCUGGGAAUCCCGGGUGCUCGAGGCU
rnacentral:rRNA from 1 species